GCUAAAAAUUUAGCCCUCCCUCCACCCUUAUGAACCCUCGAAACUAACCACACUAACUAAAACAUUUUUCUAUUUUAGUAAAGGCGAUCAAAAAAUUAUUAGGAGCAAUACAAAUAGUACCGCAAGGGAAAAAUGAAAUAAAAGUGAAAUAAAUUUUAAGCAUCUAAAAGUAGAGGUUAGCCCUCGUACCUUUUGCAUCAUGGUUUAACUAGUCAAAUCAAGCAAAAUGAACUGUAGUUUGAUUUCCCGAAACUAAGCGAGCUACUUCAGGGCAGCUUAAUGAGCAAACCCGUCUCUGUUGCAAAAGAGUGGGAAGACCCUUAAGUAGGGGUGACAGACCUAACGAGCUUAGUGAUAGCUGGUUACUCAAGAAAAGGAUUUUAGUCCAACCUAAAGAUUUAACAAUAAUUUUAAAUAACACACUUACUUUAGAGCAAUUCAAAUAAGGUACAGCCUAUUUGAAACAGGAUACAACCUAAAUCGAAGGGUAAUUACUUUCAUAACAACCAAGUAGGCCUAAAAGCAGCCACCUUUAAAAUAGCGUCAAAGCUUUAUUGUUUAUACCUUUAAUACCAUUAAUAAUCUAGAACCCUCCUCCACUAUUGAGUACUUCUAUAUACAUAUAGAACAUUUUAUGUUAAAACUAGUAACAAGAAGAAGACCUUCUCUUAAAUGCAAGUGUAAAUCAAGAAGGACCAACCACUGACUAUUAACAUACAUGAAAAUAAAUUAGUAACCAAACAAGAAAAAUCUAUUUUAUUAUGUGUUAACCUGACACAAGAGCAUUUCAAGAAAGAUUAAAAGAAAAAGAAGGAACUCGGCAAACAUUAACCUCGCCUGUUUACCAAAAACAUCGCCUCUUGAUUAAAUAUAAGAGGUCCAGCCUGCCCAGUGACACUGUUCAACGGCCGCGGUAUCCUAACCGUGCGAAGGUAGCGUAAUCACUUGUUCUUUAAAUGAGGACUAGUAUGAAUGGCACCACGAAGGUUAUACUGUCUCCUUUUUCCAAUCAGUGAAACUAAUCUCCCCGUGAAGAAGCGGGGAUAAUCUUAUAAGACGAGAAGACCCUAUGGAGCUUUAAACUAAAUAACACCUGCUUUUAUUUUUCUAUCUUUCAGAACAUCAAUAUUUACUCUAGCUUUAUGAUUAUUAGUUUUAGGUUGGGGUGACCGCGGAGCAAAAGAUAACCUCCACAUUGAAUGGGAUUUAAUUCCCUGAGCCACGAGCCACAACUCUAUGCACCAAUAAAUUGACAUCAAUUGACCCAAUAUUUUGAUCAACGAACCAAGUUACCCUAGGGAUAACAGCGCAAUCCGCUUCAAGAGCUCCUAUCGACAAGCGGGUUUACGACCUCGAUGUUGGAUCAGGGUAUCCCAGUGGUGCAGCCGCUACUAAAGGUUCGUUUGUUCAACGAUUAAAACCCU
rnacentral:rRNA from 1 species